rnacentral:rRNA from 1 species
GGUUAAGCGACUAAGCGUACACGGUGGAUGCCUAGGCAAUCAGAGGCGAUGAAGGACGUGCUAAUCUGCGAUAAGCGUCGGUAAGGUGAUAUGAACCGUUAUACCCGACGAUUUCCGAAUGGGGAAACCCAGUGCAAUUCGUUGCACUAUCGUUUGAUGAAUACAUAGUCAAACGAAGCGAACCGGGGGAACUGAAACAUCUCAGUACCCCGAGGAAAAGAAAUCAACCGAGAUUCCCCUAGUAGCGGCGAGCGAACGGGGAGCAGCCCAGAGUCUUAA